rnacentral:rRNA from 1 species
GAUAGCCUACGGGGGGCAGCAGUGAGGAAUAUUGGUCAAUGGGCGGGAGCCUGAACCAGCCAAGUCGCGUGAGGGAAGACGGUCCUACGGAUUGUAAACCUCUUUUGCCGGGGAGCAACGGGGUCCUUGCGAGGGCCCGAUGAGAGUACCCGGAGAAAAAGCAUCGGCUAACUCCGUGCCAGCAGCCGCGGUAAUACGGAGGAUGCGAGCGUUAUCCGGAUUUAUUGGGUUUAAAGGGUGCGUAGGCGGGCUUUUAAGUCAGCGGUAAAAAUUCGGGGCUCAACCCCGUCCGGCCGUUGAAACUG